GACGAACGCUGGCGGCGUGCCUAAUACAUGCAAGUUGAGCGCUGAAGUUUGGUACUUGUACCAACUGGAUGAUCAGCGAACGUGUGAGUAACGCGUGGUGAAUCUUCCUUUUUUCGUGGGACAACAUUUUGAAACGAAUGCUAAUACCGCAUAAAAUCUUUAAACACAAUUUUUAAUUUUUAAUUAUGCAAUUUCAUCACUCAAACAUUCUCCCUCGUUGUAUUAGCUAGUUGGUGAGGUAAAGGCUGACCAAGGCGAUGAUACAUACCCGACCUGAGAGGGUGGAGGGCCAAAAUGGGAAGGAGACAAGGCAAAAAGGGAUAGGGGAGGCAGCAGUAGGGAAUCUGAGGCAAUGGACGAAAGACUGACCGAGAAAGGCCGAGUGAGUGAAGAAGGUUUUCGGAUCGUAAAACUCGGUUGGUAGAGAAGAAAGAUGGUGAGAGUGGAAAGCACAUCAAGUGACGGUAACUACAAAGAAAGGGACGGCUAACUACGUG
rnacentral:rRNA from 1 species